rnacentral:rRNA from 1 species
UGACCUCAAAUCAGGUAGGACUACCCGCUGAACUUAAGCAUAUCAAUAAGCGGAGGAAAAGAAACUAACAAGGAUUCCCCUAGUAACUGCGAGUGAAGAGGGAAAAGCUCAAAUUUAAAAUC